CAAACUGGGAUUAGAUACCCCACUAUGCUUAGUAGUAAACCCAGGCAGUUUACCAAACCCACUGCCCGCCAGAGAACUACAAGUGAAAAACUUAAAACUCAAAGGACUUGACGGUGUUCCACAUCACCCUAGAGGAGCCUGUCCAAUAAUCGAUAACCCACGUUAUACCUCACCUGCUCUUGCAAUACUCAGCCUAUAUACCGCCGCCUUAGCCCACCUUACAAAAGAACUUACAAUGGGCAAAAUAGCCUCAUCACUAAAACGCCAGGUCAAGGUGUAGCUCACGCGCAGGAUGAGAUGGGCUACAUUUUCUACCCCAGAAAAUACCAUCAGUACUAUGAAAUCAGUACUACAAGGAGGAUUUAGCAGUAAGCUGUGCAAACUCGCCCAACUGAACGACGCCCUGGAUCACGUACACACCGCCCGUCACCUU
rnacentral:rRNA from 1 species